GGGGGUAUAGUCCGAUGGUAGAGCAUGCGACUGCAGAUCGAGAGGUCCCCGGUUCAAAUCCGGGUGCCCCCU
rfam:Haemonchus placei strain MHpl1 genome assembly, scaffold: HPLM_scaffold0003459